UGUACUACAAAUUGAACAGAACUGACAAGAUCUAGCUCGGUUUGUGUUUGCAGUGGAUCGAGCAUUGUGGAUUUAGAGCUGUUCAAUGAUGCAAACAUAGGCAUAUCUGAAAAUCCAGGUCCCGUGAUGUCUUCACCACCGCCUUGUUCAAGUUCCUUACCGUUAGUUGCAUUUGGUGCAAAUAAAGUCAAUGAGGAAAAUGAAAAGGUACAAGACAAAUCGAGGUUAGAUUGGGAAUCUAUGGUACUAUGUGAUUUAUGGGAGGAGGAAGGGAGACGUGAUGUUGCAAGUGAGAUGGAGAUGUAUUGUAAUCUAGGACUCAAUGAGGGGGAAACGACAAAGGAAAAU